UCUGCCCACGUCUAAUUCAUCUACCAACGGAAAUAAAAGGAGUUGGAUGCAUAAAAGUAAACUCCACCGCUACCUUAUGAGUUGGAUACCACGAAAUUUGCCUCUUUAAAAACCUUUCCCUUUUGCCAAACAUUCUCUUCUCAUUCUUGAAAUCAUUUGGUUUCUAUUUUUCUUCUGAAAUUUUCUUUGUGUUUUUAUUUUCUCUAUAUAAUUUUAAAGGAAAGGGAAAUGGGAAAUUUUGAGAAGCAAGUGAAGGAGAAAGCACAAGAGCUGAAGAUCUUUUUCAAGAAAGGAGUAAAGAUUGUUGGGACAUCUUGCAAAAAGGGUUGGUAUAAGGUCAAACACAUUAGGAGUUGAAGCUAAGCUUAAAUUUUUAAAGUUUGAUAUUCUUGAAUAUGGUGUAGGGUUUCUCUUUUUUCUUAAUUUCAUUUUUAUUUGAGAUUUUUGGAUUUUGUAGCUUUGGUUAUUGAAAUGGAACAAGUGUUAUGUACUUGGGAUUUAUCAAACAUCUGGUUUUGAUCUGUGCUCUUUUGUGUUGUUACCUUUUUCCUCUACCAAUGGAUUUAAAUGUUAGAGAUUUUAAAAUGAUAUUUCAGUGUUAUGCUUGAAUGGAUCUGAAUAUUUGCAUUGUUUUAUUUACAAAU
rnacentral:lncRNA from 1 species